GGAUGAUGAAAGCAGACGUGGCGUCACUUCCCUCAUCCUCGUGGCUAACUAACAGGCUUCCUGCAAACUUGGACCAGUAGGAGAGAAAACAUGACGUACAACUGAACAGUGCGCUAGGUCCUUGCCUCGCAGUUCUCAGUGCAAUCCUGCAGAAUGUUCAGGAGGCGGCUGACGACGCAACCUCAGAUAAGACGGGAUGAAUGGAAGUUAGUCUGGCCUCGUCGUCGGAAUAAAACUGUCGUCUUGAUUGCUGGGGGGCAGCAGCAGCCACACCACACUGAGAGGAACAAAGAAACUCAAACAACAACAUUGGUGCUCUUCGCUUUCACUGAGUGCUGUAAAAUAAAUACAACAUGGUUAAUGUUAGCACAAUUGUUGCAACCAUUCAAAUAAAUAUAUAGGUGAAGCAAAAACAGCAGUGAAACCAACUGUGAAAUGCAUAUUGCCUUAUAUAUAUAAUAUAUAUAUUUAUUUUAGAUAGAUUUAUAUAUAUAUGUGUUCUAUAUACUCUCCCUAGAUUCUUUAACAACUUACAAGAUGCCAACUAGCACCAGGAACGAUGCUUGCUACAACUCAAGGAGAAGUGGAGUGGUUACUGUGGGCACCUUCAAACAUUUAGCAGCAGACAGAUUCCUGAAGAUGCAAAGGACUGAAUUCAUACAGACAUACAGAAUCAUCUGGUGAGGCGAGUUGUGGAGGAUGAAGAGCAGCAAUGCAUGCUAAUCAAAACUCUUUCAACUGAAAUUAGUUCUUAGUCAAUGUUUUGACAUUCUUUGAAUUGCAAAUUGAAAGUGUUUCUGAAAAGUCAGCAUUUAAAUAUAAUACUUGCAAAAAAGCAAAAACAAGAAGACAUCUAAGGUGUGAGGAAGCAAGGAAUUGGAAGUAAUGAAAAGAGGAGGAAGAAUGAAAGAGCACACUGUAAAAAAGAAAUGUCGCUAAUUUAUGGUAAAAUACUGGCAAGCUGUGGUUGCCAGAAUUUUACCGUAUUUAUAGGGUAAAAUUGGAGAUGAUUUUUUUUUUUACAAUGUAAAAAGGACAGAAAGAGGGACAGAAGGAUGAGGAAGAAAAAGCUAACUGAAAAGAGGGAGUUAAGAGAGAAAGGAAAGAAGGAAAUGGAGGAUGAAGAAGGAAAAUUGGCAAAAGAAAAGAAGGAUAGAGGGAGAAGAAGGAAAAUGGCAGAAGUAAAUAAGAAAAUGAGAAAAAAGAUGGAAAGAUGCAGGAAAGCAACAGGAAUAAAAUUAGGAGAGGAAAGAUGGAGGGUAAAAUGAAAGAGAGAAACAAAAUACUUUACUGCAGCUUUUUAAACUCAGUUCAUGUUUCAGAACAUUAACAUUAGUUUGCCAGCUUUCAGUCCGGAUGUGUCAAUAAAAAUAUGAACUAUUAAAAACUAUUAACUUAAACUAA